rnacentral:misc_RNA from 1 species
UAAUAAGUGUUUUAUGGCACUUUUUAAAUCCAUAUCCACCUUGUGUGCAAUGUAAGUCGUUUUCUUCAUGGAAACGACCAAACAUCAACUUAUUUUUUAACUGUUUGUCUGAAAAAUAUUAUGAAUAAAUAAUUCAAAAUA